rnacentral:tRNA from 1 species
GGGCGAUUACCAGAGUGGCCAAAUGGGGCAGACUGUAAAUCUGCUGGUUAUACCUUCGGUGGUUCGAAUCCAUCAUCGCCCA